CUACGGGUUGCUGCAGUGAGGAAUUUUGCGCAAUGGGGGGAACCCUGACGCAGCAACGCCGCGUGAGUGAUGAAGGCUUUCGGGUCGUAAAGCUCUGUCAAGUGGGAAGAACCUAUGCAGUGUUAAUAUCACUGUAUACUGACGGUACCACUGAAGGAAGCACCGGCUACUCCGUGCCAGCAGCCGCGGUAAUACGGGGGGUGCAAGCGUUAUUCGGAAUCAUUGGGCAUAAAGGGCACGUAGGCGGCUUGGUAAGUCAGAUGUGAAAGCCCGGGGCUUAACCCCGGAAGUGCAUUUGAUACUGUCAGGCUUGAGUAUGGGAGAGGGGAGUGGAAUUCCUGGUGUAGAGGUGAAAUUCGUAGAUAUCAGGAGGAACACCGGUGGCGAAGGCGACUUCCUGGACCAAUACUGACGCUGAGGUGCGAAGGCGUGGGUAGCAAACAGGAUUAGAUACCCGCGUAGUC
rnacentral:rRNA from 1 species